AGUGGACGCUGGCGGUAGGCCUAACACAUGCAAGUCGAACGGCCGCACAGUAAGCGCUUGCUUCUACGGGUGGCGAGUGGCGGACGGGUGAGGAAUACAUCGGCAUCUACUUUUUCGUGGGGGAUAACGUAGGGAAACUUCUGCUAAUACCGAAUAUGACCUACGGGAGAAAGCAGGAGAUAUUCGGACCUUGCGCGUUUGAAUGAGCCGAUGUCGGAUUAGCUAGUUGGCGGGGUAAAGGCCCACCAAGGCGACGAUCCGUAGCUGGUCUGAGAGGAUGAUCAGCCACACUGGAACUGAGACACGGUCCAGACUCCUACGGGAGGCAGCAGUAGGGAAUAUUGGACAAUGGGCGCAAGCCUGAUCCAGCCAUGCCGCGUGGGUGAAGAAGGCCUUCGGGUUGUAAAGCCCUUUUGUUGGGAAAGAAAAACAGCGGAUUAAUACCCCGCUGUUCUGACGGUACCCAAAGAAUAAGCACCGGCUAACUUCGUG
rnacentral:rRNA from 1 species